UCUUCUGCUUUUUCUUUUGAUAGUGUUUCAGAGAUGAUAACUGCCAUGUUGGCAUCAGUGAGCUAUGAAGCUGUAUAUAUCUAAGCUUUUAUUUGACAAAAAAGAAAAGCCUGGACAGUGAUGAUUUUUUUUUUUUUUUUUUUUUUUUUCAGAAACUCUUCUGAAAAGUUGAACUUUUAAUUCUUUGGCAGGCAACCAAGAUGUUUAUUGGAAGAAAACUUCUGUAAACUUUGCAGAUCUUUUCCCCAAUGUUUUCUUUGAAUGCCUGAUUAAUUUAUACUAUGUUGUUAACAUUGGAAUCUCAAUUUCAAAAGAGAAGAGCAUAGGAACCAGAAGUGUAAAAUAUCUGUAUUGCAUAGCCAUAUCUGUAUUGCAUAGGUUGCCAGAAAAAAGGAAUGUGCAAUGGAGAUUAUUAAUAUGGAAAUAUCCUAAGAUACGGCAUGCCAUUUGAGAAACUGAAUGAAAUACAUUUUGGCAUGGAAGAUAAUUAAUUGUACCAUGAAUUACUGAGGACAGGUAAACUGAAAAAUCACUUUCCUUCCUUUUCACAUUCAUUAAUGUUGCAUGUCUGCUUAAGUCUGCUGCUACCUUUUUUCCAAACUUCAUUCUUGGCUGCUUCAUCUGUACCUCUUUAUAUAAACACAUAUGACUGUAUUAACAAACAAACAAACAUUUAAAAGGGUGAUUGGUGAUCAGUUUCUUGUACAGAUCUCAAACUGACUGUUAAAUUGAUAACUGUAGGCUCUCCAUUGGUAGCAGAAGUAAACUACAGGGAAGAAUUUGUUUUGGUAUCUAUGUCAAUCUUGCAGUCACCUUUGUUUGUGGUUAAAGCAUAUGCUAGGUCUGGCUAUCAGUUCAGCAAUAUUGAAGAAAUUAUUUGGAAAACUUUCAUGAUAUCUUCUUUAUGACUUUCGCAUCUUCAUAAAGCAAUUAAAUGAAACCAAGGAUGGAUGCUGUUUAACUCUUAGCUAGAAAGGGAAAAGCUUUAGCGACAGAGAAUGAAUUUUAAAAUGUUACAGCUUCCUUUCUUGUUAUUAUGUUGAUAUCAGAAAUAUAUUUCUAAACAUAGUAUAUGAGGAUUGUAGUAGCUCAGGUGUCUCUGUAGCAGAAAGGGCAUGGCAGCAAAGUUUCUGAAUGUAUUCUGAUAAUUAUGUGAACUAGCUGAAUCAUAGCAAACAACAUUAUGCAUAGUCAAAUUUUGUAAUAGAUUGUAAUCUAUCUGCAAUAGAUUUUAUAUUCUAUUUAGUAAAGAGUUAUUUAAUAAAACAUCUAGAAAACAAGUAUUGAGUAAUAUU
rnacentral:lncRNA from 1 species